GCUCCAACAGCACUUGGCGGGUAGCUGGCCAGCCUGGAGCUGGCUUGUUUGCUGUGCCAGCUGCGUGGAGACCGUGGAGCUGCAGCAGGUGCAGCCUGGGCCAAGACCAAAGACCUCUGACGCCGGGCCGGGCCAGGCCAGGGAUGGAGAGACCUGGAAAACAGCAGCGCGCAUGCUGAGAAAGAAGGGGCUGAGCGGGGGUCCUGUUCCUUCCCCUCCGUUCGCUGGUCUUGGAGCUCCUAUCACAGUUGGGCAGCCUGGAGUCCAGACUUCCGGCGCCUCCCUACCACUAACCGGAAGUGCCGCCCUGGACCCAGCGCCCUCUCAGUGGCCCCUGCUUUGGGCCCGGAAGCCCCUCUCUCGUCUUCCCUCACCCAGCUCUGCGCCCUGCGACACCUCAUCAAGGCCUGGGGCGGGGGUGCUGCGGCCUUUCCCUCACUUGACCCGUCAUCUCUCCCAGCCAUCCUGGGGGGAAAGGAAGGGAAUAGUGGGGCGGCCCAGAGCGCAGGCCCUGGGAUCAGACUGUCGCGGGUGAUGUCCCAGCUCUACCGCGCACGGGGUUCCCAAGAUGCUGACGGCGGGUGUGACCUCUGAGCCUGUUUUCGCAUCUGAAGGCUGGAGACAGCGCUCACCGCAAGGGGUUCCUGUGAGAGUUCCGUGAGACGCUAGAUGCCUGCUGAAGUACAUUCUGCACUUCGAGGUGCUAAGCAGUUGUCAUUUUGCAGCCCCAAAUAUGCCUCUUAGGUUUUCCUGCCACCUGGCCUGACACCCCAACCACCCCAGCUGCAUCUCUGCACAGCCCCACCCAGACACGAAGGUUCACCCCUGGCUUCCUGACCGCACUCACCCCUAUGGCAGCCACAGCUAUUUUUAGCAGAGCUAAGUGACCUCACUGCCUCCUGUUUUUGACAUCCUCCAGAGACCUCAGUCCUCGCCUGCCCCCACCCAGCCUUCACCCGGCCAGCGUCACUUCCUCCAACAACACGAUGCUGAGUUUCACUUUCCUUUGCUUUUGCUCAUCCUCCAGCUGCCUGGGUUUCCUCCUGGAGGCUGAGUGAACCUCAGGCCAGCUCAGGGAAGAUUUUGCUGCUGGUACCCCUCCAGGCUGGCACCUCCAACCUUAAGCAUUUAGGGCCCUCAGGCCCAUUCAUUUCUGUUAAAAGUUGUCAGAAAUUCUCCAUCCGUUUCUGGGUCAGGAUCCCAAAAUCUGAUUCAAGUUCUCAACCUGACCUAAAUCUUUCCUGCUGUCAGGGUGACAGAUUAGCAAAUAAAAAUACAGAAUGCCCACUUAAAUUUGAAUUUCAGAC
ensembl:lncRNA